rnacentral:rRNA from 1 species
UACGUAGGGUGCAAGCGUUAAUCGGAAUUACUGGGCGUAAAGCGUGCGCAGGUGGUUCGCUAAGACAGAUGUGAAAUCCCCGGGCUCAACCUGGGAACUGCGUUUGUGACUGGCGGGCUAGAGUGCGGAAGAGGGAGGUGGAAUUCCACGUGUAGCAGUGAAAUGCGUAGAGAUGUGGAGGAACACCGAUGGCGAAGGCAGCCUCCUGGUCUAGCACUGACGCUCAUGCACGAAAGCGUGGGGAGCAAACAGG